GUUAACGCUCUGCGCGCAGCCUGGGAGCCCCCUGAUCUUGAUUAAUUCAGCCGUCGCGCUCUUCCCAGCCACACGGGCGGGGGCUCCUGCUAGCGUAGGUGUCUCGGUUUUAAGUGAUUGAAUUUCCCCAGGAAUGUUAUUUAAAUUGACUUGCGACUGGGAUUCGCUUACCAUCCUUCUUGUGAUCUUUCUGAUUAAAAAUAGAUGAUGACCAAUAAAGGCUAGCGCAGCCCCGCAGCGUUCCCAGAGCUUGGGAGGGUUGGGGACCGCAGGAUGGUUUUCCCUUCAGGCAGAUCCAGAGGGCUGGGAAUCCAGUACCCUCAGUAGAUCUCCAGAGCACAUAGAGAAUUCUCCCGAGAGGCUAAGGUCACGGCACCACGGAAGUAUUCACAGAGGGACAGGGAGGACUCGGCCAAGGUGACCCGAGUUGACGCCGACGAAGGAGAGAAGGGGCACCUAUUUUCCCAAGGGCUCAUCCGACAAGUACCCACUGCGCUGGAGGGGCAGAACAGGGAUUUGGAUUUGGGGUGGAAGGAGGCCUCUCCUCCCGCGUAAGUAACACAUCCGUGGAAUGUCAGAGGAACUUGGCAACGUUCCUGAGCAUUGAUCUGAGUCUGAAGGGUCUUUUUCAAGGUUAUUCUUGUUUGCAAAGUUGGCCUUUAAGGGCCUCUGUGCUCCAGUUAAGCGCAUGGGGUCGCGUAGUCACCACUCCCUCCCUGGUUAAGCACCUUGGCACAAAAGGAGGGCUGGCAGUUACGUGGUCCUUGACACGGUGUCUCUGCUGGGUGGUGGCCUUAAGCAGCUUCUUAAAAGAAGGUGGCACCGUGAAGAAGCUAGGGACUUGUGCUUUUAUUAAGGUUGUCUGAAACAGUCAUCUUUGUAGAGUUAGGAUUUAUUCAUUCCCUCACCCCUAAACACGUGGUCCCUUGUAGAGAAACCAAACAGGAAAUUCCGUAGUCAUCGAGAGAAAAAAGUAAAAGCAAAGGAAAAAAUAUAGAGACACAGGAAACUCAACUGUAGGUCAGUAAAAGCCAAGAUUUCUCUCAGAGUAAGUCACACUGUAUCUCCCUAAUAACCUUAUGGAACAAGGUGAAGGGUGCUGGUUGAUUUAGACAUUUCAUUGCUCCUCCUAAAUGAAAACCUUCUAAAUAUUUCUGCAGCUGGGAGCACCUUACUUUUGCCACACACUCCAAAGCAAUCCCUCCUCCUGGAGAAGCUCUGAAGUGUCCCUCAGACAAAGCUACUUCAUGUGAAGCUUAGUUGAGACAAGUCCUUCUUUCUAAGCCUGUCUAAAGCCAGGAUAGUUCUCUGCCAUCGUUUGUUUUACUACGCAUGCCCGCUAAGUUGCUCCAGUGGUGUCUAAUUCAUUGCUACCCUGCCAGGCUCCUCUGUCCAUGGAUUCUCCAGGCAAGAAUAUUGGAGUGGAUUGCCAUGCCUUCCUCCAAGAGAUCUUCCCGGUCUAGGGAUUGAACCCACAUCUCCUACAUCGUCUGCAUUAGCAGGUGAAGAGAGGUUAAAACAUCUGAAUCACAGAGGAAGUUGUUGGCAGUACUGAAAGUGGGAUCCAAGCUUUGUGAGUCCAAGUCUGGUUACAAAGAAUGGGGAAGCCUCAUACCACCUCAAUGACUUGCACCAGGCAAAGGAACCCCUGUUCCUUUGUGUUCCCUCCACCAACAUCCGAUGCAUUAAGAGCCCAUUUAUAAGGAAAACAGAGCUGGACUCUGUUCUAGACCUUAGUGCCUUUUAAAAGGGACCUCAGAGAGCUCUCUUGGCUUCCUUCUGCCACAUGAGGAGAAAAUGAGAAGAAGGCAGUCUGCCACCCUGAAGAGGGCCUUCAUUAGAACCUGACUGUGCUGGCACCCUGAUCUUGGGCCUCCCACCUUCCAAAGCUGUGAGAAAUAAAUUUCUGUUGUUUAUAAGACCUGCAGGCUAUGAUACUGCACUAUAGCAGCCCAAACUGACUAAGAUAGCAAGAGCCUAAGAAUACGUAUAACUGUAAAUUUGAGAGGUAAUUCAAUUUUCCCCAGGUCUAUGACAAUAACCAUAUUUUCCUACCUCUUGCCUUUCCUCCCCACCUCCACCCUCUGGUAUAAAAGUAAGGCACCCAAACUAUUUCAACAUUGUGAUAGAUUAUAUUUUCCAAAGAUAAGUGCAUAUAUACACACACACACACACACACACACAUAUAUAUAUCUCCCAUCUCACAUGCUGUUAUAAUGUGACAUUAACAUGCCUCCAUCAAGAGGUGGGGUAUAUGGUCCUUCCUCUUGAGCCCAUAGUAUGCAGCACAGGUGGCUCUGGAUGAUUUCCAACAGUAGGUCAUAAAAGAUGGUAUGACUUCCACCUGGCUCUAUCUCUUGCAGCACUCACUCUUGGAACCAUGCUCAGGCCACCUGGAGAAGCGUCAUGUCGAUGCUCUGGCUGACGGUCCCAGUAGGGCCCCCAGCAUCAACCUCCAGACAAGUGAAAGAAUGAGUUCCAUGAUUCCAGUUCCCUGCCUCUGAGUUUUCUGGCCAAGGCCCUGGAAUUUGAGGAGAACCAAGUCAGCUUUGCUAUGCCCCAUUUGAAUUCCUGACCUGUGGGAACCAGGAGGUAACAAAUGCUUAUUAUUGUCCUAAGAAUCUGAGUUUUGGGAUAACUUACUCCAGUUUUUUGGUGAACCCCUGGGGGUGUUUCAAACACGUCUCAUAAACAGUCUUCUCAGAAUGCCUCACUGUUGUCACUACUGCUAGGGCACUCGUGUGAUUAGAACCACGUUGGACCCGUUUGGAAACUUCAUAUGGAGCUGGAGAAUUUCGAUUAGUUGAGAGAAGAUGAAAAACCAUUACCUAAAAGAGGAAUAACAUGUGCCAUGAUUUGGCGAUUUAGGCAUGUAGAUAUAAGUGCUUUUCUGGGUCAUUUUGGAUAUGUAACUGGUUUCAUGCUGGAGAUGGGGUAGGGGAAUUCAGUUGCAGUGGGAGGCUAGUGAAGUUCCCUUUAGGGUACAAACCACGGGCAACAUUACCCUUUUGCUGGUGGUCAUUAAGGCACAGGAUCUCAGCCUGCGUACUCCACAGUCUCUAUCCUUCUAGGGACCCUCCAGGGAAACUCUAGACAAUGUGGUUUGAGGCACAAAAGGAGUCAAGGGAUCCAAUAUGUAUUUUUAGUGAGAGGAGUCAGGAUUCUCCUACUGCUUCUGUAGUAGACUGGUUCAGAGAGUUUAGUUCAGACUGGUUCACAUUUAGGAUCUUACUUAACUGGAAGAAAUAGGAAACCUGAAGAAAUGGUGGCUUAAACAAAUGUGUUGUUGCUCUUAUCACCUCAUGUAAAAGAAAUCCAGUGGGAAGCAGCACAGAACUGGUAAGCAGUCCUGUGAUGUCAUCCUGAUGCCUCGUGGUUACAAACAUCAGCUCUACCUCCAGACUCCAUAUCUGAAUUUCAGGCAGGAAGAAAAAGAAGGGCAAAAUAUAAAAAGUGCAUCAAAAUAAAGAAACAGAAAGUAUAUUCUAGCUGUGUCUGUGCUUGCUGUACGGAGCUUUCCUAGAAGCUCUACCUAAACAAUUCUAUUUAUUCCAUGUUGGUGAGGAUGAGUUGUGUAUCCAUCUACCCCUGGUUGGGAAGGAUCUGGGAUAUAUAGUUGAGUAGUUGAGCACAUUCUGCGCAAGCCAAUGUGGGUCUUGCUGCUUUUAAAAAAUGUCUAUCACAUGGGGUUUGCAGUCUCCCAAGUGUGUCGUGUUUCUAGGAUAGGUUUUAGAGAUGUUACAUGGUAUGUUAGAAAAGGGGUUUCCCAGGUGUCUCAGUGGUAAAGAAUCUACCUGCCAAGCAGGAGAUGCGGGUUCAAUUCCUGAGUCAGAAAGAGCCCCUGGAGAAGGAAACGGCAACCCGCUCCAAUAUUCUUGCCUGGGAAAUCCCAUGGACAGAGGAGUCUGACAGGGCUGUCCAAAAGAGAUGGACAGGACUGAGUGAUUAAGCAAAAACAGCUUGCUAGAAAAAACCUUGGUUUUGGAGUCCAAAGAACUUAGUAAAAGACUUACUUUGUCUGAAUCUCAUUGUCCUUACUUAUAAGAGUGAUGUUACAUGAAGUUUUAAAAGACAUGUAAAACGUCCACUGCAACACCUGGAGAUAGGACACUUGCAAAAUAAUUAGUUCCUCUUCAGUUCCUCUUCCUCGCAAGGAUCUCUAAAGAAUCUCAGUGAGGCCCUUCUGAGUGCAGAUCAAUCAGGCUCUCCCUAGCGCCUCAGGCCUUUUUUACACAAGCAGUGAGUAAACCUCCCAACCUCCCGUGGUCAGAACAAGGGCCCCAGGGAGCCCAAACCCUCCUCUCAUGUCAGGAGAGACUUGCAGCCAGACUACAGCUAUCGUGGCACCAACUGCUCUGUCACCCUUCUCCUGAAGAAGUUCAGCAUGUGUAAGCAUUUUGGGGGCGUCUCAUGAACAGUUAUGUGUACAAAGAGGUACUUAACUUAGAUGGUUCUUAUCUCCCCUUAGUCCUAGGAUGUGGGCUGCAUGUAAUGGUAAAGAACCCACCUGCUAACGCAGGAGACAUAAGAGGCCCAGGUUCGAUCCCUGGAUCAGGAAGAUUCCCCUGGAGAAGGAAAU